rnacentral:lncRNA from 1 species
GGCUGAAAAUACUAUGUUACAAUCUGUUGGCUAGUCUCGGCUAAUUAGGACUGGCUGUGUUACUUUGCUGAGACAAGCCUAGUCUCAACAAGACACAGGCCUAAUAUAUUCCAUAUAGAGUUUUUUAAAAUGCUUAAAAUUACAAAGUAUUUUUACAUUAAUUUGCUGGUAAUUCCAAAUUGGUACCAAGCAAACUUUCUGGAACUCUGACUUACAUUUUUCAGUGACUACUUUUUAGAAUAUUUAUUAAAUAACUUUACUACAAUUUGAGAAUGGUGUUUUUAGACUCUGACAACAUUCACAUUUACAUUUACUACUUAAUGCUAAGAGAAAUCUAAAACCUGUAAUGCAGAGAAUUCAAGACUAAAUAUAAAGAUUUAUGUUCAGCUUACACUGAAGUGUUGGGUACUUAUAUAUUAAUCUGGUAUGCACUCAUCAUUAAUUGUGAAUUCAAGUUUAGUCUCUCCCAAUUUUAACACUUCAAAAAAUGAUACAAGCAAAUUAUUGGACAUCAGACAUGUUAGUUAUAGUGGAAAUAUAUUUUCAGGUACCCAAAAAUAACACAAUUUUCAAGAUUCCCUCCAAAGUUUAUAAAGUGUAGUCAAGAGUUUGGAGAAUGGGCAAAAUAGUCUAAAGUAUAUUCUCAAAGCAAACUUUUAUUAGACAAGCAUAAUUUAUAUUUUGCUUUUCUAGUAGGUUGGAAUAGAGAAUUGGUUGUAUAGUCUAUAGUUUUUGAUUCAUAAAGAAAUAACCAUAUUUGAAACAGUGGACCCGUUUCCUAGAUCACGUCAUAUGUACACAUAAUGCCAUUUUCUUCUGUGUGUGGUGUGUCUUUUGAUGACUUCCAAAAGCCUUAUUAUGUCAACCUUCUAUAAUGAUGAUUCCUUGAUUAUUUAAAUUCUUAUACUUUUUAAAGUUUACAUUUAUCUGUCAACAACUUUGUUCAUUUUAAAGAAACGUGCUAAUGCAUGGGAGAAGAGUGCCAGUUGAUAGUUCUAUAAAACUUUAAAACUAUGGUAUUUUGGAAGAAAAGCUUGAAAUGCAACAUAUAGAUGUAAUCAACACAGUAAUAUUACCAAUUCUUUAAUAAGUGAUUUUUAGAGAGGUCGUAGACUACUUUUACAGUGGAAAAUGUAGUUUAGACAUGCAAAACUUGAAUGUUUACAUCAAUUUAUAUUGAACGUCACAGUUUCAUAGAAGGAAAGGUGAUUUGAGAUUUAAUCUAUAUUCCAAGGAGACAGAAUCUGAGUGGAAACUAAUAGACUUUGUGCUUAGUAGACCUAGUAUAAUAAGACUAUUUGUAAGAACUGAUAAACUUUUCCUACAUAUCAGAUUAUUAAACUUUAACAUUGUCAUUGUAUAGUCACUCAUCUGAGUUUUGUAUUUAAAAACAGGGUUUAACAUCACUCAUUGUAUUUACGCAUUCAUUGUUAU